rnacentral:piRNA from 1 species
GGCCACCAAAUAGACAGACAGC